AAAGGAAAAGGCAAAAAACAAAAAGGAGAAAGAACCAAGUUGAAAGCCAAAAUGAGGGUUCCCACCAGAUGAGAUGGUGCACACUUUCUCUUUUUCCUCUAUUUUCUUUUCUGUGCUUCUCUAGUU
rnacentral:ribozyme from 1 species